rnacentral:rRNA from 1 species
UUUCCGUAGGUGAACCUGCGGAAGGAUCAUUACCGAGAGUGCCCCUCCGGGGGCGACCUCCCACCCGUGAUUAAUUUACCGACGUUGCUUUGGCGGGCGGUGGGCCCCGGCCCACCUGACGUCCGUCAGGGGCUUUUCUCAAACUCUUUUGUUGCCGUCUGAGUACAAACGUAAAUCUUCAAAAAACUUUCAACAACGGAUCUCUUGGUUCCGGCAUCGAUGAAGAACGCAGCGAAAUGCGAUAAGUAAUGUGAAUUGCAGAAUUCAGUGAAUCAUCGAAUCUUUGAACGCACAUUGCGCCCCUUGGUAUUCCGAGGGGCAUGCCUGUCCGAGCGUCAUUGCACCACUCAAGCUCCGCUUGGUGUUGGGCCUCGCCCCCUGCGGCGGCCCCGAAAAGCAGUGGCGGUCCGGCGAGACUUCAAGCGUAGUAGAAAAACUUUUCCCGUUUGGCAAGCUUCGAGCCGUGGCCCGCCAGUCGACCGUGCUUAGGGCACUCUCUCUUUCUAUGGUUGACCUCGGAUCAGGUAGGGAUACCCGCUGAACUUAA